rnacentral:rRNA from 1 species
UACGUAGGGGGCAAGCGUUAUCCGGAUUUACUGGGUGUAAAGGGAGCGUAGACGGCAGAGCAAGCCAGAAGUGAAAGCCCGGGGCUCAACCCCGGGACUGCUUUUGGAACUGCACAGCUAGAGUACAGGAGAGGUAAGCGGAAUUCCUAGUGUAGCGGUGAAAUGCGUAGAUAUUAGGAGGAACACCAGUGGCGAAGGCGGCUUACUGGACUGAGACUGACGUUGAGGCUCGAAAGCGUGGGGAGCAAACAGG